GAUGAACGCUGGCGGCGUGCCUAAUACAUGCAAGUCGAGCGAACGGACGAGAGUGCUUGCACUCUCUGAUGUUAGCGGCGGACGGGUGAGUAACACGUGGGUAACCUACCUAUAAGACUGGGAUAACUUCGGGAAACCGGAGCUAAUACCGGAUAAUAUUUAGCUUCGCAUGAAGCAAUAGUGAAAGACGGUUCUGCUGUCACUUAUAGAUGGACCCGCGGUGUAUUAGCUAGUUGGUGAGGUAACGGCUCACAAAGGCAACGAUACAUAGCCGACCUGAGAGGGUGAUCGGCCACACUGGGACUGAGACACGGCCCAGACUCCUACGGGAGGCAGCAGUAGGGAAUCUUCCGCAAUGGACGAAAGUCUGACGGAGCAACGCCGCGUGAGUGAAGAAGGUUUUCGGAUCGUAAAACUCUGUUGUAAGGGAAGAACAAGUACGUUAGUAACUGAACGUACCUUGACGGUACCUUACCAGAAAGCCACGGCUAACUACGUGCCAGCCGCCGCCGUAA
rnacentral:rRNA from 1 species